UGCGGGAUGGAGCAGUCUGGUAGCUCGUCGGGCUCAUAACCCGAAGGUCGUUGGUUCAAAUCCAGCUCCCGCUC
rnacentral:tRNA from 1 species